UUAACUCACACAUAAACUUAACAUGGAUCUGAUUCAUUGUCUUUUCUCUCUCUGUCUUCAGUCUGUGUGGAUGCAGUAUUACAGAGAAACAGUGUCUCAUCCUGACUUCAGCUCUGAAAUCAAACCUUUCUCACCUGAGAGAACUGGACCUCAGUGGGAAUGAAAUAGAAAACACAGGAGUGAAUCACUUAUGUGACGUACUGAAGAAUACAGACUGUAAACUGGAAAGAUUGAGUCUGCAUGACUGUGGCAUUACAGAUGUUGCUUGUUUGGCUCAGUCUUUGGCUGAAACAAAAGCACUUCUAUUUUUAAAAGAGCUUGAUCUGAGUAAAAAUAAAAUGGGAGACUCAGAGCAGCAGCUCAGUGAUGUGCUACGAGACUCAAACUGUAAACUGAGGUGAAACAGAGGAGGGAGAAGAGGCUGAUGAGCUUGCAAAAGAGCUGGAUUAGUAAGAAUACAGGUCUAUAGUAUAAGAUUGUCAUUAUCAAAUGACAAACUGAAAGUCUAAAAUGAAAAUUAAGUUAACAUGCUACAUGUACACAGAUUCAAAUCAGUGAUCUAUAAUAGAGUCAUUUUAAAGAUCAGUGGUCCUGUGUCAUUUUAUAUUUCUUUAUACCAUUUUUUUAUUUUACAUUUAUGUAUGUUUUAUAUUACAUUUCUCUAACAUUUUAUAUACAGAAUGUGUAUUUAAAUUCGUCUUUGUAAGUUCUGUAUCUGUCUCAGGAGAAACAUGUCUCUGUAUAAGAAGGAGGUUUUUUUGAUGUUGUAGUUGUUGUGGAUGUGUUUGUUCUCUCACACCGGCACAGAUUAAUCUUUACUAGUUAGAAUUUAUGUAGCAUAUUACAGUAUGUGCUUUCAGUCAUAUUGUCUCAUGCUUUUUCUUUAGUGAGUUUAAUCUUCUCUUGUAUUGUAUUGUAAUGUGUUGGCAUAUUAUAACUAUACAAAUAAAAAACUUGACCAUUUUA